rnacentral:rRNA from 1 species
AAAGGGCGCGUAGGCGGCUCAUAAAGGCUGUGGUGAAAGUUCGGGGCUCAACCUCGAAUCGGCCGUGGCGACUUGUGGGCUGGAGCACUGUAGAGGCAGGUGGAAUUCCGGGUGUAGCGGUGGAAUGCGUAGAGAUCCGGAAGAACACCAGUGGCGAAGGCGGCCUGCUGGGCAGUGGCUGACGCUGAGGCGCGACAGCGUGGGGAGCAAACAGGAUUAGAUACCCUUGU